AGAGUUUGAUCCUGGCUCAGGAUGAACGCUGGCGGCAGGCCUAAUACAUGCAAGUCGAACGGUAACAGGUUCUAAAGCAAUUUAGAAUGCUGACGAGUGGCAAACGGGUGAGUAAUACAUAUGAACUUUCUCUAAGAAGAGGAUAGCCAGUCGAAAGAUUGGGUAAUACUCUAUGUGGCCGAAAGGUUAAAGUUUAAUACGCUUAGAGUGAGGCAUAUGCCCCAUCAGCUAGUUGGUAAGGUAAUGGCUUACCAAGGCUAAGACGGGUAGCUGGACUGAGAGGUUGAUCAGCCACACUGGGACUGCGACACGGCCCAGACAUCUACGGAUGGCAGCAGUAGGGAAUUUUCCGCAAUGGGCGAAAGCCUGACGGAGCCAUGCCGCGUGCAGGAUGACGGCCCUAUGGGUUGUAAACUGCUGUGGUAGCCUACCAAAAAAAUGAGGAGGCUAUUAGAAAGAGGUUGCUAACUCUGUGCCAGCAGCAGCGGUAAUACAGAGACCUCGAGCGUUAUCCGGUAUCACUGGGCGUAAAGCGUACCGAUCGGUUGUUUAGUGUGUCUAAAGUGAAAGACCGAAGCCUAACUUCGUGUUUGCUUUAGAAACUACUAAACUUGAAGGGCAAAGAGGUGGUUGGAACUCUGCAAGUAGGGGUGAAAUCCGUUGAUAUGCAGGGGAACACCAAAAGCGAAGGCAGACCACUAGGUGCCUCUUGACACUGCUAGGACGAAAGCGUGGGGAGAGAACGGGAUUAGAUACCCCGGUAUUCCACGCCCUAAACGAUGAGUGCUAGUUUUUGGGGAAAGUCAAUCUUCCUCGGAGACAAAGCUAACGCAUUAAGCACUCCGCCUGUAGAGUACGAGCGCAAGCUUAAAACAUAAAGGAAUUGACGGGAACCCGCACAAGCGGUGGAUCAUGUGGCUUAAUUCGAUAAUAAGCGAGGAACCUCACCUAGGUUUGACAUGCAACUGCACGACUAAUGAAAGUUAGUUUCUUUCGAAGGUGUUGCACAGAUGAUGCACGGUCGUCGUCAGCUCGUGUCGUGAGAUGUUCGGUUAAGUCCGGUAACGAGCGCAACCCCAAUCCUUAGUUAUUUAAUGUCUAAGGAGACUGCCCGAGCUUAAUCGGGAGGAAGGCUGGGAUGACGUCAGAUCAGCGUGUCUCUUACAUCUAGGGCGGCACACAUGAUACAAUGGGUAAGGUACAACGGGACAGCAAAAGGGUGACCUGAAGCAAAUCCUAAAAAACCUCCCUCAGUACGGAUCGAAGUCUGCAACUCGACUUCGUGAAGCUGGAAUCGCUAGUAAUCGCGGAUCAGACUCGCCGCGGUGAAUACGUUCUCGGGUUUUGUACACACUGCCCGUCACGCCCUGGGAACUGGGAGAGCCCCAAAACUCUAUCUUGUAUGGAGUCGAAGGCUAGUCCAAUGACUGGGUUGAAGUCGUAACAAGGUAACC
rnacentral:rRNA from 1 species